rnacentral:rRNA from 1 species
AUGAACGCUAGCUACAGGCUUAACACAUGCAAGUCGAGGGGCAGCAUGGUCUUAGCUUGCUAAGGCCGAUGGCGACCGGCGCACGGGUGAGUAACACGUAUCCAACCUGCCGUCUACUCUUGGACAGCCUUCUGAAAGGAAGAUUAAUACAAGAUGGCAUCAUGAGUUCACAUGUUCACAUGAUUAAAGGUAUUCCGGUAGACGAUGGGGAUGCGUUCCAUUAGAUAGUAGGCGGGGUAACGGCCCACCUAGUCUUCGAUGGAUAGGGGUUCUGAGAGGAAGGUCCCCCACAUUGGAACUGAGACACGGUCCAAACUCCUACGGGAGGCAGCAGUGAGGAAUAUUGGUCAAUGGGCGCAGGCCUGAACCAGCCAAGUAGCGUGAAGGAUGACUGCCCUAUGGGUUGUAAACUUCUUUUAUAAAGGAAUAAAGUCGGGUAUGUAUACCCGUUUGCAUGUACUUUAUGAAUAAGGAUCGGCUAACUCCGUGCCAGCAGCCGCGGUAAUACGGAGGAUCCGAGCGUUAUCCGGAUUUAUUGGGUUUAAAGGGAGCGUAGAUGGAUGUUUAAGUCAGUUGUGAAAGUUUGCGGCUCAACCGUAAAAUUGCAGUUGAUACUGGAUAUCUUGAGUGCAGUUGAGGCAGGCGGAAUUCGUGGUGUAGCGGUGAAAUGCUUAGAUAUCACGAAGAACUCCGAUUGCGAAGGCAGCCUGCUAAGCUGCAACUGACAUUGAGGCUCGAAAGUGUGGGUAUCAAACAGGAUUAGAUACCCUGGUAGUCCACACGGUAAACGAUGAAUACUCGCUGUUUGCGAUAUACUGCAAGCGGCCAAGCGAAAGCGUUAAGUAUUCCACCUGGGGAGUACGCCGGCAACGGUGAAACUCAAAGGAAUUGACGGGGGCCCGCACAAGCGGAGGAACAUGUGGUUUAAUUCGAUGAUACGCGAGGAACCUUACCCGGGCUUGAAAGUUACUGACGAUUCUGGAAACAGGAUUUCCCUUCGGGGCAGGAAACUAGGUGCUGCAUGGUUGUCGUCAGCUCGUGCCGUGAGGUGUCGGCUUAAGUGCCAUAACGAGCGCAACCCUUGUUGUCAGUUACUAACAGGUUCCGCUGAGGACUCUGACAAGACUGCCAUCGUAAGAUGUGAGGAAGGUGGGGAUGACGUCAAAUCAGCACGGCCCUUACGUCCGGGGCUACACACGUGUUACAAUGGGGGGUACAGAGGGCCGCUACCAGGCGAGUGGAUGCCAAUCCCAAAAACCUCUCUCAGUUCGGACUGGAGUCUGCAACCCGACUCCACGAAGCUGGAUUCGCUAGUAAUCGCGCAUCAGCCACGGCGCGGUGAAUACGUUCCCGGGCCUUGUACACACCGCCCGUCAAGCCAUGGGAGCCGGGGGUACCUGAAGUGCGUAACCGCGAGGAGCGCCCUAGGGUAAAACUGGUGACUGGGGCU